UUCCUGGUAGUCCAGUGGUUAAGACUCUGCAUUCCUAAUUCAGGGGACCAGGUCUGAUCCCUGGUCGAGAAA
rnacentral:tRNA from 1 species